UACGAAGGGUGCUAGCGUUGUUCGGAAUCACUGGGCGUAAAGCGCGCGUAGGCGGCUUUUCAGGUCAGGGGUGAAAUCCCAGAGCUUAACUCUGGAACUGCCUUUGAAACUGUAAAGCUGGAGUGUCGGAGGGGAUAGCGGAAUUGCUAAUGUAGCGGUGAAAUGCGUAGAUAUUAGCAGGAACACCGGUGGCGAAGGCGGCUAUCUGGACGACAACUGACGCUGAGGCGCGAAAGCGUGGGGAUCAAACAGG
rnacentral:rRNA from 1 species